UGACCGCUAAAGCUCAGUUGGCAGACUAUUGCCAGGCUAGUAUUCCAAAGGUUGUAGGUUCGAUUCCCACCGUGGUCAG
rnacentral:tRNA from 1 species